rnacentral:rRNA from 1 species
UACGUAGGAUGCAAGCGUUGUCCGGAAUUAUUGGGCGUAAAGAGUUCGUAGGCGGUUGCCUAAGUCUGGUGUUAAAUACAGGAGCUCAACUCCUGCAUGGCACUGGAAACUGGGCGGCUAGAGUGUGGUAGAGGUCACGGGAAUUCCAGGUGUAGCGGUGAAAUGCGUAGAUAUCUGGAGGAACACCAGUGGCGAAAGCGCGUGACUGGGCCAAUACUGACGCUGAGGUGCGAAAGCGUGGGGGAGCAAACAGG